rnacentral:lncRNA from 1 species
CCUCAAAGGACCUCAAUUUUUCAAGGGAAGAAAUAACCACAGAGGCAAUUGAGAGGUUGCAGUGGAGGCUUAGGUAUAGUUUUACAAAAGUCAACAAACAAACAAACAAAGCAUUUCAUUUCAGAAAGGAAGAAGUAUUUUGUAGCGUCAGCUGCUCCUGAGAGACCAAGAGGGAUGAAACCGGUUAUGUCCGUCCUCAAAGAGGAGAAAAAACUGGAACAAAAGAUUUAUUGAAUACCUUCAGUACAAGACACUUAAUAUUAGAUAUUACAUGGAAUACCUUAUCAGCAAGAAUUAGAUACAAUUUCCCCAUUUUCUAAGUGAACAAAUGGAGACUCAAGCAGCUUUUACAAUUUGCCAAAGGCUCACAGCUCAAACCAAGUUAUGUUCAAUUCCAAAGCUCCUCAUGUUCAAUUAUAAUCUAUUGCCUUCCAGAAGUUCAAAGUUAAGGCUUAGAAAAGCAUGGCUAGUUCAGAAUAAAUAUGUAUACCAGAAGGCAAAUCUUACAAAUUAAAGAAUGACAUUGACAAUAUACUACAAUCUUAAAAAUAUGCUACAAAAGGCAUCUAGCCUCAAGAAACCCUGGUAAUGACAAGCAAUAAAGCAGUAGCAUAAUUAACAGAAAGCUUCAGAGGAAGAGCCCUGAAGAAAGGAAGGAGGAAAAAAAUCUCCAGGACUUCCGGUAGUAAUGUAACUGUGAAU